CGAACAAUCGCAUUCGAUACGAUAUUCGAUAUUCAAUUCGUCCACCUGUUUGAAGAAUGCAACAUGGCGGCCCGGCCAUGCAUUUUCCUACACAAUCACGAAUUCACGACCGGUCCCCAGAUCGCGCGUUCAAUUAAUUUUAAUUUAUUGAAUCAUUUGCCGUUAAAACUGUCAUCUUCUCUACUCAUUUAGAAGUAUUUCAUCAAUUCGAGACGAAGCCUUAACCCCAGGGCCAACGAGAAUCAAGAAGAAGCCAUGGGAAGUGCGGAGGAACCGAAAUUCAGAGUGGAUCUUUACAGAAGUAUUUCAUCAAUUCGAGAAGAAUAUUGAACCCCAGAGCCAACGAAAAUCAAGAAGAAGCCAUGAGAAGUGCGGAGAAACCGAAGUUCUGAGUGGAUUUUUACAGGUAUGAGUGUAUGAGUCGUUUUUGCGUUCUCCCCUGAUGUCAUUUUGGUAUUGCUUUCAAUCGCCUCUGUUUCAACUAAAUCGAGGAAGCUUACACUACCGAUUCCUUUAUGAGAACGUAGUGAAGUUCCCAUAACUUACGAUGUCACGAUAGAAUUGUCAUCAGACUCCUGUGACGGGACGGAACAUGUCUUUUUGUCUGUUGCUGGACUUUCUUGGCACUUGGAGACUCUGCUAUGGACCAAGAGCUAUUUCUUUAUCUCCUCUUAUCUUAUCUAGUCAAUCAAUGAAUGCAGACCGGGUCUUGAAACUCUGUUGGUAUGCCAGGACAAAGAUAUGGAAUGUGUGAGCUUUGCGCCUGGAAGACCUUGAUCCCCUAGGCCUGGACAUGCUGAUAAGAGUUUCAACAAUCGAUUCCUGUGUGUGAGACUGAAGCUACCUUUAAAGAAGGAACUUCUGAGCACAGCGAAGAGUGUUUUACAGGUUUUUCUUUCUCAAUCCCCUGCAAAUAGCAAGAACUGUGAAUACUAAUGAUCAUCCUAGUUCAGACUCCAUUGUCAGAGGUAUAUCCCGCCUGAAUUUCCUCUUCAAGAAUUGUAAUUUCCUCAUUCCCCGUAUGUCCUGUAACUCUUUCCUUCUUUCAAGUUCAUGUCGUUUAAUCUCUAAAGGAAAGAGUUAGUUUGUCUGCAUGUAGUCAUGCUGUGAUAAAGAGGCCAAUUUCAUCAUUUUGAAAGCUCACCUAGACCAUCUCUUCCCUUCAAAUCGAUAGCUUAGCCUUUGUUUCCCAUGAUCAUUUUUCUUCCUUUAUUCAAUGAGCCAGUUGCGCUGUUAACAGAAUCAUGUUUUGAUGCGUGGUUCUAGUAGAUCAGCAUUAAGUAAACAGAUCUGUCCCAACAGCAACUCUCUAGGUACCUUGAUUAUUAACCGAGAUAUCUCGCCUUGACAAACUUGACUUA